rnacentral:rRNA from 1 species
CCUACGGGUGGCAGCAGUGAGGAAUAUUGGUCAAUGGGCGCAAGCCUGAACCAGCCAAGUAGCGUGAAGGACGACUGCCCUACGGGUUGUAAACUUCUUUUAUAAAGGAAUAAAGCGAGUCACGUGUGCCUCUUUGUAUGUACUUUAUGAAUAAGGAUCGGCUAAUUCCGUGCCAGCAGCCGCGGUAAUACGGAGGAUCCGGGCGUUAUCCGGAUUUAUUUGGUUUAAAGGGAGCGUAGAUGGGUUGUUAAGUCAGUUGUGAAAGUUUGCGGCUCAACCGUAAAAUUGCAAUUGAUACUGGCAGUCUUGAGUACAGUUGAGGUAGGCGGAAUUCGUGGUGUAGCGGUGAAAUGCUUAGAUAUCACGAAGAACCCCGAUUGCGAAGGCAGCUUACUAAACUGCCACUGACAUUGAUGCUCGAAAGUGUGGGUAUCAAACAGGAUUAGAUACCCCAGUAGUC